UACGAAGGGUGCAAACGUUGCUCGGAAUUAUUGGGCGUAAAGCGCACGUAGGCGGCUCCAAAAGUCGGAUGUGAAAUCCCUCGGCUCAACCAAGGAAGUGCACCCGAAACUGCGGAGCUUGAGUAUGGAAGAGGGUCGCGGAAUUCCCGGUGUAGAGGUGAAAUUCGUAGAUAUCGGGAGGAACACCAGUGGCGAAGGCGGCGACCUGGGCCAAUACUGACGCUGAGGCACGAAAGCGUGGGGAGCAAACAGG
rnacentral:rRNA from 1 species